rnacentral:rRNA from 1 species
CUUUAUUGGAGAGUUUGAUCCUGGCUCAGGAUGAACGCUGGCGGCGUGCCUAAUACAUGCAAGUCGAGCGAACUAAUUAAGAGCUUGCUCUUAAGAAGUUAGCGGCGGACGGGUGAGUAACACGUGGGUAACCUGCCUAUAAGACUGGGAUAACUCCGGGAAACCGGGGCUAAUACCGGAUAACAUUUUGCACCGCAUGGUG